AAUCUAGAACUCUUGGACGUUGGCGAAAGGACUGUAGUGCAAAUGAUAUUUCUAUGGAUGUUGCAACGAGUAAAGCUGGAAAGACGAGUGCCGAAUGUUUUUCUUUCAAACUGCCGCUGUCCGCUGUAGUCGACACUUCGUCUAAAAAAGUGUUAUUAUAAGACCUAAGGCGCAUAGAACAUAAACGCGAUUAAACGCACAUUUUUUACUCAUAUAUGGCAGUAUUGGUAAUCUUUAUAAUAAUCAAUUAUAAUUAAAGAAUACAUUUUUUUUGGAUUUCAUUUGGUUUAUCACGCCUAAUAAACUCGUUAUGAAUAUGUAGAUGGUAAAACUUAUUAAGUCAUCACUAUGAAAAAAACUGCCAAAACUAUUGACAUUGAGAUGGAAACUUGUAUGUGAUAAAUUGAAAAACGAAAUAUACAGAAAUGUGUUCAUAUUGUUCGUUCAAGAAUUUUAACUACUAAACGCUCACCGACAAAGAAGUAUUAAUUAAACAGCUUAGGUAUUGAAAGGAGUAACGAGUGUUUAUGGCGGGUAGAAUUAUUAAUGGAUUUCAGUUACUAGAGUUUGUCGUGAAUACUUUAUAGCAUAACGAGCGUGAAAUCUAUUUUCUGUACUUUCAAAACGCAUAUUCCUUAAAUAUUUCUUCAUUCAACAAAUUAAUGCUGUUAUUCUUAUCAACAUAUUUGUAAAAAAUAAGUGUUUUUGUAGGUGACCCGAUCGUAGCUAUACGUGCGGUGCAUCAAGCCCGAGUUAGCCAUUAGCAAUUACCUGAUUUGUUGGGCUGCAUUGAAGUCUAGUGGUAACGGUUGCGAAAAAAAUACAUACGUUUGGUCAGCGUUAGACGAUCCGACCUAUGAACUCAAUCAAUUACUUUGGAAAUGUGUGGAUAUCAGCACAAAUUAAGAAAAAAAAGUAAACUGUAAUAUUAUUCGCGUAAACGCAUAUUAUGUAAAUAUCUCUUGAAAUAUUCGAUGAACACUCGCUGCUAUUUUAUUCUCAGUUGCAUAACUUUUUUGUUUUAAGGAAAAUAUGAAUUAUAAUUGCCUAUUUGCAACGCCUAUGGGGAUUUAAUUUUUGUGACGAAAUUAAGAUACUGACCAAUAUACAAAAAAUAUAUAAACCAAUGAUGUACGACUGCAUAAUUGCACAAUUCCAGCGUCAUAAAAAUUAUUAGACCAUCUUUCCAGAAAACGUUCUGGUUGAGAUGCAAUUAUUUCAUAGCUAAUUUAAAAGUGCACUAGUCGAGUGUAAUAUGUAAUUAGCUAUCGGCUUUAGAUAAUGAGUACAUGAAAGUGUCGGUACACAUGCUAACAUAGUACAUACGUGUGUCUGUACACUUAUCGAGAUUAACUCACACGUGGACAUAACAUUGUGAUGCGAGAGACAUUUUGUAUUGAUGUUUUCUUGGUAAAAAUUUAUUAUACUAACUGCGUAGCUCCUCAGAAACAUAUGCCGCGGCAGUACGGCUUAUAUCAUUUGAUCGUGUCGGUUGUAGGAUAAAAAAUAGCAUUAAAAUAGGUAACCCAGCGGCUUCCACAAAGAAGAAACGUGACUAUGAUUGCAUUACUGGAAACUGGAAAGUGUUAAAACAUAAUUAUGACAAAUUAUGAAUUAUAAGAUAUUACUAAGACACCAGUAGCAAAUUUUAAUCAAAAAAUCUCAUCAAAACUAUUAUUUAUAUCUAUCUUAUAUCAUUUUAAU